rnacentral:tRNA from 1 species
GGAGGGGUCGCAUAGCGGCCGAGUGCACCGCCUUGGAAAGGCGGCAUACCGCAAGGUAUCGAGAGUUCGAAUCUCUCCCCCUCCG